rnacentral:rRNA from 1 species
UAGGGAAUNUUCGGCAAUGGGGGCAACCCUGACCGAGCAACGCCGCAUGAGUGAAGAAGGUUUUCGGAUAGUAAAGCUCUGUUGUAAGUCAAGAACGAGUGUGAGAGUGGAAAGUUCACACUGUGACGGUAGCUUACCAGAAAGGGACGGCUAAGUACGUGCCAGCAGCCGCGGUAAUACGUAGGUCCCGAGCGUUGUCCGGAUUUUUUGGGCGUAAAGCGAGCGCAGGCGGUAUGAUAAGUUUGAAUUUAAAGGCUGUGGCUCACCCAUAGUUCGCUUUGGAAACUGUCAAACUCGAGUGCAGAAGGGGAGAGUGGAAUUCCAUGUGUAGCGGUGAAAUGCGUAGAUAUAUGGAGGAACACCGGUGGCGAAAGCGGCUCUGUGGUCUGUAACUGACGCUGAGGCUCGAAAGCGUGGGGAGCGAACAGGAUUAGAUACCCUGGUAGUCCACGCCGUAAACGAUGAGUGCUAGGUGUUGGAUCCUUUCCGGGAUUCAGUGCCGCAGCUAACGCAUUAAGCACUCCGCCUGGGGAGUACGACCGCAAGGUUG